rnacentral:lncRNA from 1 species
AUCUUCUCAUCCCCUAUAUCCCAAUAUCACACCUAAGCUUAGGCCUUGUUUACUUCACCUUAAAACCUAAAAAUUUUUCAAAAUUCCUCGUCACAUCAAAUCUUGCGGCAUAUACAUGAAACAUUAAAUAUAAAUAAAAAAGAACAACUAAUUGCAUAGUUUAUCUAUAAUUUACAAAAUAAAUAUUUUGAACCUAGUUAAGACCUGUUUAAAUUCACUCAAAAAC